UACGUAGGGGGCAAGCGUUAUCCGGAUUUACUGGGUGUAAAGGGAGCGUAGACGGCGGAGCAAGUCCGGAGUGAAAGCCCGGGGCCCAACCCCGGAACUGCUCUGGAAACUGUGCGGCUAGAGUACUGGAGGGGCAGGCGGAAUUCCUAGUGUAGCGGUGAAAUGCGUAGAUAUUAGGAGGAACACCAGUGGCGAAGGCGGCCUACUGGACGGUGACUGACGCUGAGGCUCGAAAGCGUGGGGAGCAAACAGG
rnacentral:rRNA from 1 species